CAACACGAGGGCAGGGCUGCUGCCAUGGCGCUGCUGUGGCGCUGCGGGGUGGCACUGCUGGCACUGCAAAACGCCACUGCUGGCACUGAGGACUCUAUUGCUACUGUGGCACAGCUGGCACUGCAAAAUGGCACUGCUGGCAAUGAGGACUCUGUUGCUACUGUGGCACUGCUGGCAUUGCAGGCACUGUUGGUACUGUGGCACUGCUGGCACUGAGGACACUGCUGCUACUGUGGCACUGCUGGCACUGCAAAAUGGCACUGCUGGCACUGAGGACACUGUUGCUACUAUGGCACUGCUGGCACUGAGGACACUGCUGCUACUAUGGCACUGCUGGCACUGCAAAAUGGCACUGCUGGCACUGAGGACACUGUUGCUACUGUGGCACUGCUGGCACUGCAUUGUGGCCCUGCUGGCAUUGCAGGCACUGUUGCUACUGUGGCACUGCUGGCACUGCAAAAUGGCACUGCUGGCACUGAGGACAUUGUUGCUACUGUGGCAUUGCAGGCACUGUUGCUACUAUGGCACUGCUGGCACUGAAGACUCUGUUGCUACUGUGGCACUGCUGGCAUUGCAGGCACUGUUGCUACUGUGGCACUGCUGGCACUGCAUUGUGGCACUGCUGGCAUUGAGGACACUGUUGGUACUGUGGCACUGCUGGCACUGCAGGCACUGUUGGUACUGUGGCACUGCUGGCACUAAAAUACAACAGGCACAGUGGCACAGCAGAACUGGCACUGUGGCAUGGCAGUAUGGCACAGCUGGCAUUGUAGCAUGGCACAGGAGCCAACACAGCACAGCAGGCACUGUGGCACAGCUGGCAGCCCAGCACAGCUGACACUCUGGCACAGCAGGCAGGAUGGCACAGCUGGCACUGCAGCCUGGCAGAGCUGGCACUAUGGCACAGGUGGCUCUCUGGCACUCCUGACAUGGCAGACAGGCAUAGCAGGCAGGAUGGCACAGCUGGCACAGCAGCACAGCUGGUACCUACAGCACAGCUGGCACUGCAUCCUGGCACAGCUGCCACUGCGGCCCCACACAACUGGCACAGCAUCCCGGCACUGCAGCAUGGCAAAGAUGGCACAGCUGGUGCUGCAUCCCAGCACAGCUGGCACCCAUGGCACAGUAGACACUGUGGCACUGCUGGCACUGCAUCUUGGCACGGCUCUCUGGCACGGCUGGCACUGCAACAUGGAAAAUCUGGCACUGCAACACGGCACAGCUGGCACUGAAGUCUGGCCCUGAGGCACAGCUGGCACUGUGGCACUGCCAGCGCUAUGGCACAGCUGGCUCUGCGUCCUGGCACAGUUGGCACUGCAGUACAGCUGGCACUCCGGCACAGUUUGAGGGUCUGUGGGGGGUGGGGGGGAGGAGAUCCAACCCCACAAUUUGAGGCUCCAUUGGGGGGCGGGGGGCUCCAACCCCACAGUUUGGGGGUCUGGGGGGGUUGAGGAGCUCUGACCCCACAGUUUGAGGGUCU
rnacentral:lncRNA from 1 species